rnacentral:sRNA from 1 species
UGCAUCUGAAGUCUGACGAGGAUGAGAACCUCCGGGGGCAAGAGGUUCGACUCGAGCGAAGCGAGAGAACGUUGCGU